rnacentral:lncRNA from 1 species
UUUAAAGAAAUCAUAAAUCAAAGAACUAACCAUAUUUCACAUAUCACAUCUCCUUAAAAUCCAUAAAGAAAGGAGCACUGCAGAAAACACAAACCCAGAUGGCCGUGCCUCUGAAAGACCGCUAACCCUGCUUAAUCCUGCAUCUGAUGAAAGAUGUCUGUCUGCACAUCUGAAGGAAAUUUGCUAAAGCCUAAUCUCAGGAUCAAAAGGUCUUAAGAACCAGAGCUCCAAUGAAAGACAAGGACAGAAUUAUUAAACAUGACUACGUUCCAUCAUAAAAGAUUAAUUAUUUACAGUAGAAUUAAUGGACUAUAAUGAAAUUAAAAUCUAUCAACUAUUUUCACUUAACCAAAGCAAAAAGUAAACCCAAGAGCAUCCUAGUGACAGAUAACAAUUUGGUCCUUCUUCAGCCUUUUUUUUUUUAAACCUUUGGAUUAUAAUUAUCGAUGAUAAUUACAUUUUUGCAGCAAAGAGAUUA